UGGGGAAUAUUGCACAAUGGGCGAAAGCCUGAUGCAGCGACGCCGCGUGAGGGAUGACGGCCUUCGGGUUGUAAACCUCUUUCAGCAGGGAAGAAGCGAAAGUGACGGUACCUGCAGAAGAAGCGCCGGCUAACUACGUGCCAGCAGCCGCGGUAAUACGUAGGGCGCAAGCGUUGUCCGGAAUUAUUGGGCGUAAAGAGCUCGUAGGCGGCUUGUCACGUCGGAUGUGAAAGCCCGAGGCUUAACCUCGGGUCUGCAUUCGAUACGGGCUAGCUAGAGUGUGGUAGGGGAGAUCGGAAUUCCUGGUGUAGCGGUGAAAUGCGCAGAUAUCAGGAGGAACACCGGUGGCGAAGGCGGAUCUCUGGGCCAUUACUGACGCUGAGGAGCGAAAGCGUGGGGAGCGAACAGG
rnacentral:rRNA from 2 species